rnacentral:rRNA from 1 species
ACUCAAAUGAAUUGACGGGGACCCGCACAAGCGGUGGAUGAUGUUCUUUAAUUCGAUGCAACGCGAAAAACCUUACCCACCUUUGACAUGUAUGGAAUCCUUUAGAGAUGAAGGAGUGCUCGAAAGAGAGCCAUAACACAGGUGCUGCAUGGCUGUCGUCAGCUCGUGUCGUGAGAUGUUGGGUUAAGUCCCGCAACGAGCGCAACCCUUGCCAUUAGUUGCUACGAAAGGGCACUCUAAUGGGACUGCCGGUGACAAACCGGAGGAAGGUGGGGAUGACGUCAAGUCCUCAUGGCCCUUAUAGGUGGGGCUAGAAACGUCAUACAAUGGCCGGUACAAAGGGUAGCCAAGCCGCGAGGUGGAGCCAAUCCCAUAAAGCCGGUCGUAGUCCGGAUCGCAGUCUGCAACUCGACUGCGUGAAGUCGGAAUCGCUAGUAAUCGUGGAUCAGCAUGCCACGGUGAAUACGUUCCCGGGUCUUGUACACACCGCCCGU